AGAUGAGGAAGAUUCUUGCUCUGUUGAUUCAUACGCUACGUCGGGUGCAAAGUCUGCUAAAUCAAGAAAUAUUGUCACGGCAGCUCCUUCGUUUCGAUCCACUGAGCGUGCCGAGAAGCGGAAGGAGUUCUAUACAAAACUGGAGGAGAAACACCAAGCCAUGGAGGCUGAGAAAACGCAAAGUGAAGCAAGGAACAAGG